rnacentral:lncRNA from 1 species
AGCGGGGACCUGUAGUGUUUCGUUAUCGGGGACUUGAGGGUCUGGGUCCUGUCUAGAGGCUGGAGGAAAUGAUACCGGGGUAUUUUUCUCCAACAACACAUAUAUGGGUCAAUUAGAAAAAAAAAGAAAAUGAAGGCAAGAUUUCAGAAUCUAACCCUAAAGAUACAUACAAUACUAUAACAUAUGUUACCAAACUCUAAACCAAAGGCUCAUGAGCCAAUAUACAUUCACUCAU